AUUGAACGCUGGCGGCAGGCCUAACACAUGCAAGUCGAACGAGUGGCGGACGGGUGAGUAAUGUCUGGGAAACUGCCUGAUGGAGAGGGAUAACUACUGGAAACGGUAGCUAAUACCGCAUACCAUCGGAUGUGCCCAGAUGGGAUUAGCUAGUAGGUGGGGUAACGGCUCACCUAGGCGACGAUCCCUAGCUGGUCUGAGAGGAUGACCAGCCACACUGGAACUGAGACACGGUCCAGACUCCUACGGGAGGCAGCAGUGGGGAAUAUUGCACAAUGGGCGCAAGCCUGAUGCAGCCAUGCCGCGUGUAUGAAGAAGGCCUUCGGGUUGUAAAGUACUUUCAGCGGGGAGGCGUUACCCGCAGAAGAAGCACCGGCUAACUCCGUGCCAGCAGCCGCGGUAAUUC
rnacentral:rRNA from 1 species